ACACAUGCAAGUCGAACGAUGAAGCCAGCUUGCUGGUGGAUUAGUGGCGAACGGGUGAGUAACACGUGAGUAACCUGCCCUUGACUCUGGGAUAAGCCUGGGAAACUGGGUCUAAUACCGGAUAUGACUGAUCAUCGCAUGGUGGUUGGUGGAAAGCUUUUGCGGUUUUGGAUGGACUCGCGGCCUAUCAGCUUGUUGGUGGGGUAAUGGCCUACCAAGGCGACGACGGGUAGCCGGCCUGAGAGGGUGACCGGCCACACUGGGACUGAGACACGGCCCAGACUCCUACGGGAGGCAGCAGUGGGGAAUAUUGCACAAUGGGCGAAAGCCUGAUGCAGCGACGCCGCGUGAGGGAUGACGGCCUUCGGGUUGUAAACCUCUUUCAGUAGGGAAGAAGCCGCAAGGUGACGGUACCUGCAGAAGAAGCGCCGGCUAACUACGUGCCAGCAGCCGCGGUAAUACGUAGGGCGCAAGCGUUAUCCGGAAUUAUUGGGCGUAAAGAGCUCGUAGGCGGUUUGUCGCGUCUGCCGUGAAAGUCCGGGGCUCAACUCCGGAUCUGCGGUGGGUACGGGCAGACUAGAGUGAUGUAGGGGAGACUGGAAUUCCUGGUGUAGCGGUGAAAUGCGCAGAUAUCAGGAGGAACCCCGAUGGCGAAGGCAGGUCUCUGGGCAUUAACUGACGCUGAGGAGCGAAAGCAUGGGGAGCGAACAGGAUUAGAUACCCUGGUAGUCCAUGCCGUAAACGUUGGGCACUAGGUGUGGGGGACAUUCCACGUUUUCCGCGCCGUAGCUAACGCAUUAAGUGCCCCGCCUGGGGAGUACGGCCGCAAGGCUAAAACUCAAAGGAAUUGACGGGGGCCCGCACAAGCGGCGGAGCAUGCGGAUUAAUUCGAUGCAACGCGAAGAACCUUACCAAGGCUUGACAUGAACCGGUAACGUCUGGAAACAGGCGCCCCACUUGUGGUCGGUUUACAGGUGGUGCAUGGUUGUCGUCAGCUCGUGUCGUGAGAUGUUGGGUUAAGUCCCGCAACGAGCGCAACCCUCGUUCCAUGUUGCCAGCGCGUAAUGGCGGGGACUCAUGGGAGACUGCCGGGGUCAACUCGGAGGAAGGUGGGGACGACGUCAAAUCAUCAUGCCCCUUAUGUCUUGGGCUUCACGCAUGCUACAAUGGCCGGUACAAAGGGUUGCGAUACUGUGAGGUGGAGCUAAUCCCAAAAAGCCGGUCUCAGUUCGGAUUGGGGUCUGCAACUCGACCCCAUGAAGUCGGAGUCGCUAGUAAUCGCAGAUCAGCAACGCUGCGGUGAAUACGUUCCCGGGCCUUGUACA
rnacentral:rRNA from 1 species